UAGUCUCAGUUCGGAUUGUAGGCUGAAACUCGCCUACAUGAAGCUGGAGUUGCUAGUAAUCGCGAAUCAGCAUGUCGCGGUGAAUACGUUCCCGGGCCUUGUACACACCGCCCGUCACACCAUGAGAGUUGGCAAUACCCAACGUACGUGAUCUAACCCGCAAGGGAGGAAGCGUCCUAAGGUAGGGUCAGCGAUUGGGGUGAAGUCGUAACAAGGUACC
rnacentral:rRNA from 1 species